UACCAGCACCCCGAGUGGUCUGGACGAUUAUUGGGCCUAAAGCAUCCGUAGCCGGUCUUGCAAGUCUUCCGUUAAAUCCACCUGCUUAACAGAUGGGCUGCGGAAGAUACUACAAGACUAGGAGGCGGGAGAGGCAAGCGGUACUCAGUGGGUAGGGGUAAAAUCCUCUGAUCCAUUGAAGACCACCAGUGGCGAAGGCGGCUUGCCAGAACGCGCUCGACGGUGAGGGAUGAAAGCUGGGGGAGCAAACCGG
rnacentral:rRNA from 1 species